ensembl:lncRNA
CAGCUACACACCGUCCUCUCCACCGGAUCCACCGGUCCGCAGGUCCGCAGCCAGCCUGUCUGUCUGCCUGCCCCACCUGUCACCUUGCUUGCCUUGCCUUCAGUGCCUUCAGUGCCUUCAGUGCCUUCCCGGCUUUCUCCACGGCACGCCCAGCCGCCACCGUUCUCGCCGCCGUUCUCCGCGGCACGCCCAGCUGCGCCGGUGUGCGUCCCCAGGAACGCCGGUUCCCUGAGCCGGCCAGCUCCCCUCUCCCUCAGUUAGUUCCUAGCUCUCCCCCAGCCCCCUGUGACAGAUAGAACCCUGAGGGAUACCAAGAACAUCAACAGUUGCCUUCUCUGACUGAGAUGCUUUGUCUCUCAGGUAGGAGAUGAACAAAUCUUCAGGUUAACAAAACACACAUGGAAAGACGAAGGUGGUAGGAGGCCAACAUGGGUGUUCCUGGAAACUCUAAAGCAAAAAUGAGCUUCAUGAAGUUGUCACCUGGAGCCUUUCCAGCACUCUCCAAGGAGUUUCCAUAUAUGUUGAGUAAACGCUGCCCAAGAAGAGCUUGAAGAACACAACAAAAAGCCCAAGACUUGGACACAGUCUCCAAAUCUCCAAGAUCCCUGUUCAAUCAAACAUCUGCGGUAUGUGCCAGAACAAACUGGUUCCAUGAAGGCCUCUCAACCCACAGGUUUGCCAGUGUUCUGGUGCCAGUCACCACAUUACACCCCAAGAGUUUCUAUAUCGAUUCCCCAACAGGUUAGAGCUGUUUUAGUGGCAGCAAGGGGAUCAGGGCCGAUCACAUGACUUUUAGAGUGAUCGGUACUGGCACCUACCAAUGCCUGACACUGUUUUAAUGCAGAAACGUGGGGAAAAAAGUGACAAGAGAAGCUUCCAGAUGUUCCCAUGGGACAUGAGAUCACUACCUUACAUAAACCCAACCUAAUCUGUCACUCGUUUGCCGGUUUAAGGUCAAUAAGAAGUCUCUGUUAGAGUGCUCCUUUGCUAGCCAAACUCCCUUAUUGCUCUAUGCUUGCCAAAACAAACAGGCCAGCCUCAUCUGGUUGCUAUAGCAAUAAAGAGUCAGAUAGAUAAUCUACAAUACUUGAAGUGUUUAUUGUCCGAGAAAAUGAUAUUGGCUAUUGGCAGAUACUAAAUAUUCCAUGACUCAGAUCAUAUCAGAAGCCAAAAAUACCUGAAUAAAAC